rnacentral:rRNA from 1 species
AAGUCGAGCGGACCGACGGGAGCUGCUCCCUUAGGUCAGCGGCGGACGGGUGAGUAACACGUGGGUAACCUGCCUGUAAGACUGGGAUAACUCCGGGAAACCGGGGCUAAUACCGGAUGCUUGAUUGAACCGCAUGGUUCAAUCAUAAAAGGUGGCUUUUAGCUACCACUUGCAGAUGGACCCGCGGCGCAUUAGCUAGUUGGUGAGGUAACGGCUCACCAAGGCGACGAUGCGUAGCCGACCUGAGAGGGUGAUCGGCCACACUGGGACUGAGACACGGCCCAGACUCCUACGGGAGGCAGCAGUAGGGAACCUUCCGCAAUGGACGAAAGUCUGACGGAGCAACGCCGCGUGAGUGAUGAAGGUUUUCGGAUCGUAAAACUCUGUUGUUAGGGAAGAACAAGUACCGUUCGAAUAGGGCGGUACCUUGACGGUACCUAACCAGAAAGCCACGGCUAACUACGUGCCAGCAGCCGCGGUAAUACGUAGGUGGCAAGCGUUGUCCGGAAUUAUUGGGCGUAAAGCGCGCGCAGGCGGUUUCUUAAGUCUGAUGUGAAAGCCCCCGGCUCAAUCCGGGGAGGGUCAUUGGAAACUGGGGAACUUGAGUGCAGAAGAGGAGAGUGGAAUUCCACGUGUAGCGGUGA